GACCUGAUAGCAUAACUGGUAGUGCGCCUGCUUUACAUUACGAUAUAACAUAAGAUCGAGGCAUAGGGUGUCCCCGUUCGAUCCGGGGUCAGGUCU